CAGGGAAAACCCCGGUUUAGAAGCCCCCUGGCAGCACGAUGGACACUCCCAGCCUUAGGAGUGAGGAAAGAAUUGAGGAUCAACCUUCUUGUGGAUUAGGCCCUUCCAGCAUGUUGGGUCCAAGAUAUAUUUGGUGUCUUUCAUUUUUGCUUUUAUUAUAGAAUCAGUAACCUUUUUUUACUAUGAUUGAGGAAUGGAGGAAAAAAAAUAUAUGUUACUAAUUGUGGAAUCAAAAGAUUUUAAAUGCUUGUGUAGAUCAUGGGUUUUAAUAAGUAUUUUGUAUAACCCUUCAUGGGCUUUUGCUAAUUGAUCUUAAUGGAUUGAGAUUAGAGGUUAGAGAUAAGGUUUCAGAGAUGGGUUUAUAGGGAAUGGGGUGAGGGAGAGGAUGAAGAGUUUCUUGGUUUUAUUUUAAGAGAGAUUUAUAAGUUGUUAAUUUUCAUUAUACUUUUUGGGGAUAAAGGUGGGUAUUUCUUUUUUUCCUUGUGUUAGUUUUAUAAGUUUAAAUGUUAUCUUCUAUGAAACUAUUACUAAAAGAAGAAGCCUGCAUCCUGAGAUGUUUGUCACUAAAAUCGUUCAUGCAUUUUAAUUGAUUAUUGCACAGUUAAUUGAACAUAUAUUUGAUCAUUCAAAGUUUGACAGAUAAUCAGUAUAACGAGUGAAACAUUCAGACUCUGAUUUUUUUUAAUAGAUUGUCAUUUAUGGAUUUUCAUGCUUUAGAAAAACAGAGCAUGAGAUCCAUUGCACAGCCGGGCUGCUGGCUCCUUUAAUAAUUGCACUUAGAUUAUAAGUUUGUCAAAGUUGUUUGCUGAAAAUAAAUGGGUUUUUUCCCCUCUUA